UAUUGCACAAUGGGCGCAAGCCUGAUGCAGCAAUGCCGCGUGAGUGAAGAAGGCCCUCGGGUCGUAAAGCUCUUUCGAUAAAGAAGAAGGGCGUAUACGUGAACAAUGUAUAUGUCUGACGGUACCUCCAAAAGAAGGACCGGCCAACUACGUGCCAGCAGCCGCGGUAAUACGUAGGGUCCGAGCGUUAUCCGGAAUCAUUGGGCGUAAAGAGCUCGUAGGCGGUUCAGCAAGUCGGCUGUGAAAGUCUGAGGCUCAACCUCAGAAUAGCAGUCGAUACUGCUGUGACUCGAGUCCGGUAGAGGAGAAUGGAAUUCUCGGUGUAGCGGUGAAAUGCGCAGAUAUCGAGAGGAACACCAGUAGCGAAGGCGGUUCUCUGGGCCGGCACUGACGCUGAGGAGCGAAAGCGUGGGGAGCAAACA
rnacentral:rRNA from 1 species